UUUACAAGCAUUGAGAAAGGAGAAAUCCCGAGAUGCUGCUCGCUCCCGCCGGGGAAAAGAAAACUUUGAGUUCUAUGAAUUGGCCAAGUUGUUGCCUCUUCCUGCAGCCAUUACCAGCCAGCUCGACAAGGCAUCCAUCAUUCGACUUACAAUUAGCUAUCUGAAAAUGAGGGACUUUGCUAACCAGGGGGACCCUCCGUGGAACUUGCGAAUGGAAGGCCCUCCACCUAACACAUCAGUAAAAGUUAUAGGUGCACAGCGAAGGAGAAGCCCCAGUGCACUAGCCAUUGAAGUAUUUGAAGCACAUUUGGGAAGCCACAUUUUGCAGUCCCUGGAUGGCUUUGUAUUUGCACUAAAUCAAGAAGGAAAAUUUUUGUACAUUUCCGAAACAGUCUCCAUCUACCUAGGCCUCUCACAAGUAAGUAAAACAAUUUUAGAUUCUUGGCAGCGAUUAUGAAGCCUUCUUCAGCCUCAUGUUUUUCCUUCUUCAAGGAAUAUUCUGUUUAGCAUGAAUUAUCAAAUUUAUUAUUUAAUGGCUUUACCUGACUGUUCUCUCAAAGUCAGUGAGAAACCUGUGUGUCAGUGUUGAACAUUCAGAAUAAACUUGUGCUCAAAAACUUUA
rnacentral:sRNA from 1 species